rnacentral:tRNA from 1 species
GGUCCCAUGGUAUAGCGAUUAUUAUGUCCCCCUGUCACGGGGACGAUAGGGGUUUAACUCCCCUUGGGACCGCCA